UCACAGAUGCGACGCGCGGAGUGAAGAGCUGUUUGAGGUUGGUGGGAUACACGUGUGUGGUGUUUGUGUUACCGUUUCCUAAACAGUUAUCGCCAUGGCAGCGGCUCGAGAGUGUAAUAAAAGAAGCAAGAAGCAGUUCACGAGCUGUCCUGCCAAGAAGCCGAGGAGCUCGCGGGAGCUGGAGGUGGGGAUGCAGGGGAUCCUCAUCACCUGCAACAUGAACGAGAGGAAGUGCACGGCAGAGGCCUACAGCCUGCUGAACGAAUAUGCCGAUGAGCUGUAUGGACCGGAGAAGUUUACAGAAGAGGAAGAGGGGGACAGCGAUGGGGAGGACUGGGGCGAUGAAGAUGAUGCCGAGGCGGCCGUGAAGAAGGAAGCGAAACAAAUCACUAUGGCAACGCAGAAGAGAGAGAGACGCUUCCAGGCGCUGGCCAGUGGGGCGAACAACGUGGUUUUCAUAAGGACACAGAACAUAGAUCCUGCCAAGCUGGUAUACCAUAUUCUCCAAGACUUGCACACAACCAAGAAGAAGAAAUCCCGAGUGAUCUUGAGGAUGCUCCCUGUGAGCGGCACCUGCAAGGCCUUCAUUGAAGACAUGGAGAAGUACCUCACAACCUUUCUGGAGCCCUGGUUCAAGAGCCCCAGCCAGGGCACCUUUCAGAUUGUCUUCAAGGCUCGGAACAGCAGUCAUGCAAAAAGAGAGGAAGUCAUUAAAGUUUUGGGAGGGUUGGUAGGGAAAUUGAAUCCUAAGAAUAAAGUGGACCUCACCAACCCUGAGUACACCAUCAUAAUCGAGAUCAUUAAGACCGUGUGCUGCGUGAGUGUGGUGCAGAACUACGUCUUGUUCAGGAAGUUUAACGUGCAGGAAGUGAUCAAAAACGAUGAGAAGAAAGAACAGACGCAGCCAGCUGAGAGCUGCGAGGGGCGACUCCCGACAGCAGAGCACGGGUCAGCCGAGGACAGCGAGAAGAGAGAAGGGCAGGAAGGGGGAGAGGGCGCUGCAGAUCCCCAGCGCUCGCUCACCAGUGCGCAAUGACACUUUCCACCCUACAGCGCACCUUAACGACAACAGCAAGCCUGUCCGGGAUUAGGCCAAGCACAGCCGAGCAGUGACUUCGCCAAGAUAUCAUGGAGCAAAUCUGGGUCCGUUACGGAAGAGUACUGCCAGACUUGUUGGCGACAUCCUGCAGCGACUGCAUGUACCUUGUACCACACAGCAGCUCUUCACACCCAACAGGCUGAAGCAGAGGUCCAUUUGUCUAAUGAGGCUUGCGGGUUGUGUCCUCCAGGGAGCCUGUGGGCCCACGUCACUGGGGCUUCAGUCACACGCCACUGCUUACUGGUGACGGGGCCUGUCCCUUGUGCACCUGUCUCUCCUAUACACUCAUCACCAGGCUGGAGUACAGCUCGAUCAGUGAAUUUUGCAGGGAAAUACCUGACAAAGACUUCAGCAGUACUCAGUCAAGGUUUUUUUUGUUGGUCUGCUGAAGCAAGAUUUAAGCUCCCAUCUCCUCUGCAAGUCUCACGUUCUGCUCGGCGGUGAUGGGGUAGAGGUGCAGCGAUGACUCCAGUUCAGCUGAAAUCAGUCUGGGUGAAACCAAGGAACCAUUGACCCUGGGAGGCAGGAGCGGGUUAAGUGGGCGGCCGCGGGUGGACCUACAUUGUGUCUCUCUUUGGGAAAGGACAGCCGUAGCAGGAAGUUGCACCAAAUCGCCAAUUAUUUUUUAUCCUAAGCCCACCCGAUCUGGAAUCGUCUGCCCCCCCACCCCUGGAGCCUCUGUGCCCCCUGCCUGCGGAGCUGCAUGAGGACCAGGCUGCUCAUCGGUGUGCCUCACAGUGGAGUCUGGGUCUCGGGUGAUAAUUAUCCUGCAGCUCAGAGCUCUGUGUACAGGGAGAGGUUAAUUUACCCCCUGUCCUAAAAUAGCAUUUUUACAUUUUUGUAAUAUUCUUUUAUAUUACUCUGUUUGGUUUAUAUUAUUACAAUUUUUUUAAACUUGAUGAGUGUAGUUAAUUGGGCUCAUGAUAUACAUGAAACUUGUGGUGUAUAUGAAUGAUCUAGCUAGGUCCCCAACAGGCAGAAUUAAAAUCUGGACACUUGUAGACAGGCGAAGAGUUCAAUUAAGUAAGUAUUAAUUUGUUGCAGUCUGUAAUUGAAAAUAUGAAUAUAUGGCAAUAAAAUAAAGCUUUUAUUAAGAAUGUUUUCCAGUAUCAAUGUGUACCAAUGACACAUUGCCACCUGCGGGAAGUCUCAGGGAUGACCUCUUCACUCCGAGCUGAAGGUCCCAGCAGCUCCAUCACUAACGGCCCCGUCAGCUGUGCUUCUCCACUCCCAGCUGGCAUGACAGGAGGCUUCCGGUAACGAGGUCUGUGGACUGGUGGGACGUCAUUCACACUGCAGAGCAGCAGUCCCUCGUCUCCAUAGACCCACGUGAUCUUGUCCGUCUCCCUCUCUGCCUCAUCGCAGCCGCUGGCGCCCCCCGGAGUCAAGGCCAAGCUGCAGUGUGGAGCCUAGCCUGGCAGAGGACUGGUAGUGACAGUAGCCGUCGCCACGAGACCAGCAUAGCAACCUGACUCCUCUUUCGAGUACUUGGAUUAAAAAGGAGAUCCAAAGUGCUUUAAUUUUCUCAAAAGUAAAACAAAAGAAUUCCCAGUAAAAUCUAAUUUUUUGAAGUGAUAUGGAACCUAAAAACAGAUUACUGAUUGCACAAUUCCAUCAGCACGUAGGGUCUAGAAUUCGGGUUAGUGUUGAAUGGAAUAAUGAUACUUGAAUAACAUUAAAUGAAAAACUGAAGACCCAUUUUGAUUUGGUAUAAUUCUAAAGGUAUGAAGCUGGGGUAAAGGUGACUGAAUUUCUCCUCAUUGUCUGAAUCUUUCUCCCUCCAGUAAGCGGUGUUGAAAUGUCACACAGACAGCAGGGGCUGGAAAGCAUGCCGCUGUGUUAUCAAUGCUGAUUAAUUGUGCAUUAAUUGAUGAGGGAUUUGCAUCACCCAGCAGUCUGCUAUAGCCUGCCUUUUCAAACACAGUCUGCUCCUGCCUUCGUGAUGUUUUAAUUUACAGCCGAAGUCCUGCAGAAGUCACACCAGAGGUUUUUUCUGCUAAUUACCCUUUCAGACCUAUUUAAUGCUGAAUACAGAUAAUUAUCCCUGCUCCCUGUAGCUCAUGGGCAUCCAACCAGUCAAAUCUGUCUUUCAGGCUUUGUGGGGAGUAACACUUGUGUUAAAGGUCAGAAGUAUUUGAAACAAUGAUACAGGCUCCAGUGGUACACAUUCCCAUAUGACCAAACUCGCAUUCAUUAUAGAAAGUGCAAACUGUUUCAUUGACCUUUAUGAUCCACAGAGACCUUCUCUAUUCCACUGGGCCAUAAACAUGUCAUACCUUCUGUCCUUUUCUUCCAUUUUGUUUGGCAACAGUCUCAUUUUCUCUACUUCUGUGGAACAGUAGAAUUUGCUGCUCAUAAAUACCUGCAGUUUGGCAGUUUUUCCUUAACACUGUUGAAAAUAUUACGGAGGAUUUUAAAAGAUUCAGUGAAAGAAUUGAAUACACUAUUGUUGCAGAUCUGUCUUUAAAUGACAGAGAGGUCUUUCCUAAAGGAAAUAUAACCGGAAGGGGAAUCUCUGGGCCAAGGCUGAGGCUCUCUGUGGUCCAGAUCCUGCUGUGCUUACCUGGUCUCCCAGUUUGCCAAAUCUCCCAGCUCCUUUCCCAGUGGUAGCCCAGCAGAACUCACUGCGGCGCUGACUGGUGGUUGCCUGGGUCUAGCAGAGAAUGACACCCUCCUGUGUUCCGUACCGAUUUACAGACAAACCUCGUUGAACCCACUGGUGACGGAUCACCCAGCCGCACCUGUGUGCACUUAGUUCGACUCUAAAAUGUCUAAAGGUUUUCGCAAAAAGAAAAUGUCAUCACCUCAACUUAACAAAACCUGUAAAAUGCAGCCAAAAACCCAGUCACAGUUUAUAUAUAAUCGUUAAAAUGUUAUAAAAAAUGAAUAAUCCUUAGAGCAUUAUAGGAGAACAAAUAUACAUUUCCCAUUGAGUUUGCAAUGUUG